UGGGGAAUAUUGGACAAUGGGCGAAAGCCUGAUCCAGCCAUGCCGCGUGUGUGAAGAAGGUCUUCGGAUUGUAAAGCACUUUAAGUUGGGAGGAAGGGCAGUAAGCGAAUACCUUGCUGUUUUGACGUUACCGACAGAAUAAGCACCGGCUAACUCUGUGCCAUCAGCCGCGGUAAUACAGAGGGUGCAAGCGUUAAGCGGAAUUACUGGGCGUAAAGCGCGCGUAGGUGGUUCGUUAAGUUGAAUGUGAAAGCCCCGGGCUCAACCUGGGAACUGCAUUCAAAACUGGCGAGCUAGAGUAGGGCAGAGGGUGGUGGAAUUUCCUGUGUAGCGGUGAAAUGCGUAGAUAUAGGAAUGAACACCAGUGGCGAAGGCGACCACCUGGGCUAAUACUGACACUGAGGUGCGAAAGCGUGGGGAGCAAACAGG
rnacentral:rRNA from 1 species